ensembl:lncRNA
CCGAUACUUGGUUCACAGAGUGCUGCGUGUCGGCCCAGCAGGACAUCUGCUCGAAGAAGCUCCAGCUGUUCGGCAGCUGUUUGGUCCCCGCGAUCCUGCAGGUGUCGUGCAUGCAGCUCUUCCUGUGACCCAGAUGCAAAUUAUUUAAAGCAUAAACACUGUGAAAGUGGUGGAAUUGAAUUGAAUCUUCAAUGCAAAACAUUUAAGAGAUACAAGUAACAAUCAUUUUGGUUAAAAGUAAUAGUUUGACAUUUUGUGAAAUACAGUUGAAGGAGAGGACAGAUAAUAGAAUGAUAAUAGAAAUAGGAAUAAUAAGCCGCCUCUAUAAAGGUAACAAAGAAAACCAAAUACUCCUAAUGAGUAACACCUCACAUGUUUGCUCAACACAAAGCUUGAUGAGAAGAAUAUCCCACGACUGGUUUUGACCCUUUCAGGAGGGCCUCAAUGAAAGCAAAAUGCAACAAUUCUCAUAUGGUUCAGCUGACUAUAAAAGUUACUCAUAUAGUUUAUUUUAUUUUUGCCGAUAAGUCCUCUUAACUUCUCUUAAAGAGAAUACUCCGUGGAACAGUAAUGAUGAUCCAUACAAGAUGACAUACUGUGACACUCUUGACCCCUCUACUUUGCUGCUACUAAAAGGAAGUGAAAAAGUGUUCUGAAAUUCCCCCGGCUGGAUAAAUAAACCUGCACUUUCCUGUUGAAGCGCAUCGCUUAAGACAUCAGCUUCGCCUCACACAUGAGCUUCACGUAUACACUGGUCGGUGGUCGAUGUACCAACGCUGUCUGGUCUCUCAAAAAAAAAGAAGCUCCGAGGAACAGAACCAGAAGAGCGGCCGCUGAUGGGUCGCACUCCCAACGCGUUUACCUGGAUCUGCUUGAGAGUUGAUGACUUUUAGCACUCAGCUCCUCCUCUCAGUAAUGCUCGGGAAUCAAACCAUCAAGCUGAUUAGUGAAAUAUGAGUGCAAUACUCAAACCUGAGUAGAUAUAUCGGAUCUGUCAAACAUUGCCCGAGGGAUAAAAACAGGACAGGCGAGUUUUGGUUGGGUGUGACAAAAUGACAUUUUAGUGAAUUAUUGCAUUUUUAACUCAUAAAGUCAAAAGAGGCUGGGAAAAUACUCAGCAGCAGCCAUCCUGAUAUCCAGCCUACGGCGACAACCACUGUAAUCUCCUCUGUCCUCUCACAUGGCUCAUGAGAAAUGUUGCGCAGUAAAAGAUGUAGAGAGGCGUUGCUUUAAGUUGAACUCUGCAAACGUAUAUAAGGAGGGUUUGCUACAAACAGCCAUGCAGAGGAGCGUGUUUGACAGGAUCUGUGUGAUACUCUUAUUUUGGUGUCCGACCUACUGUAGCUUAUCUCUGCCUCCAAGUCAUGGUUUGUUUCAAAUCUUAAAUGCUGCAAUAAAGAGUAUAACAUUUGAUUUAUUUUUCAUAAAAUGUCUCAAUAAAUAUCAGAUGGAUUGCAAGGAAAUUGUAUCCCGGCCUUCACGG